rnacentral:lncRNA from 10 species
UGUGGACACUGACCUAGCUGGUCUCAAAGGCCUCUUUCAAUUUUAACAUUCCCCCAUUCCAUUGACUAACACAGAGAUACUUUUAUUGCAGAAGUGCUUCGGUCAGGCAGUAUCUUUGAAAAUAAUUUGGCCAAUGAAAGCCCUGGCAUUGGAUGAAAGUGCUAGCUGCUGGGAAUGCUACCCCUCCUUUUGGUUCUCUUUCAAGUCCUUCAGGUUCAAACAAUACAGAAGUGUAUAAAGUAAGAAUUGAAAGUCUCUUCGCUGCUCUAAUCUCACUCCUCAGAGGUGAUCACUGGACCUGAGUGAGCAGAAGGCUUUUCAGAAUUACAGCCUGAACUAUUUCUUGAGCAAUUUGGGAACUCAUUUCUAAAGCAGUCCUCAGAUUCACACAACGUAGUUUGUGACGGAGUAUGCCCAGAGCAGUGUUAUCACCAGUGCUUUCAGUAACUGCAUACUUAUAAAACAGCCAAACUUCAACCUGUGUUCAGUUUUUAUCUGUUUCUUGGGAAUGUAAUUUGGACAAAAAAGUUACCAAUGUAUUUACAACCAAAUUUCAGAUCUUCAACAUUACAGAGGCUGUCUUGUUGAUGGGGGUGCACCCUGACGAAUGGUGUGCUGGCAAAGAUUUAACAAAAGGCUCCAGAGGAGGGCAGACUUGAAGUGGAGCCUUCAGUGGGCAGUGUGAAGGGUGCUGAUUUCAAACAACUCAUCUGGUAUGACUGAACAUGAAGUUGGGAAGAGAUGUGCAUAAUUGAAGUGGGUGAGAGCCAGUCCAGCACCCUGCAGAGAGUGUGGAAGAUGAUCAAAGUAUGACAUUUCUUCUACCCCAGAGGCUGGCAUUUCUGCAGGCACAAAUGAGCUUGGUUUUCAAGCACUGCUCUUUGAACACAAGGAAUUCCUUUAAUGAUCACGCCGGACUAUAUAGACUUUGGAAUCAGACUCUUUGAAUUCCAGCUCUGCCAUUUACCAACUUUGACACUUUGGACAACGUCUCAUUCUGUCACCCAGGCUGGAGUGCAGUGGCACAAUUAUAGCUCACUGCAGCCUCAAACACCUGGGCUCAAGCAAUCCUUCCACCUCUGCCUCCUGAGUAAUUGGGACUACAGGCAUGUGCCACCACACCCAGCUAAUUUUUAAUUUUUAAUUUUUUUGUAGAGAUGGCGGUCUUGCUAUGUCACCCAGGCUGGUCUUGAACACCUGGCCUCAAGUGAUCCUCCGGCCUUGGUCUCUCAAAGCUCUGGGAUUACAGACAUGAGCCACUGCACCCGGCUCUAUCUCCCCUUCCUAUGUGUGUUAGCUCUAGAACAAGAGAAGCCUUGUUGAGAUUCCUGGCUGCCCACCCCCCAUCACCUCUCUGACUUUGGGCAAGUUGCCUGGCCUCUCUCAGCCUUUAUUUUCUUUUUGUGAAAUGGGGAUAAUAAUAGUACUUGCCUCAUAGGCAAAAUGUUGUGAGAACUAAACGAGAAAAUGCAUGUAAAGCACUUGGCACUUAGUUCUUUUUAUGAUUAUAAUGAUAAUCAGACACAAUAAAUUAUGUCUCACAUCACAUGCUGUUUAGCCUAUUCACUGUUCUAUUUUUCCUGAAGUCAGUUCAGUGUGUAGCAUCCAGAAUUGAACAAAACACCCCCGAUGUGACCUGAUAGUGCAAAGUAAACUAUCAUCUCCUUCAUUCUAGGUAUUAUGUUUCUAUUAAUGCAGUCUAAAGGGUUUUGGAAAUCUGGAUUGUAGCAGGGCAUUGUAAGUUAAAAAAUCAUCUUCCCAUUCUGUUCUUUGCAAAGAUAUUUCUGUUCCUUAAAUUUGUUGAGGGUAAGAGAUUGCAGAUUGCUUCUGUGGACUUCUUGAAGGUAAGUAUUAUUUCUUGAUAUUUGUAUCUCCAGUGUCUGGCACAAUGCUUGGGGGUGAGGAAGAACUCAAUAAAUGUUUGUUGGAUGAAUAAGUAAUAUUUGUGAAAG